rnacentral:rRNA from 1 species
AAACUUUCAACCUCGGAUCUCUUGGCUCUGGC